UACGUAGGGAGCGAGCGUUGUCCGGAAUUACUGGGCGUAAAGGGCGCGUAGGCGGGAUUUUAAGUCAGGUGUGAAAACUCCGGGCUCAACCUGGAGGUUGCACAUGAAACCGAAAUUCUUGAGGACAGGAGAGGAAAGCGGAAUUCCUAGUGUAGCGGUGAAAUGCGUAGAUAUUAGGAGGAACACCAGUGGCGAAGGCGGCUUUCUGGACUGUAACUGACGCUGAGGCGCGAAAGCGUGGGGAGUGAAC
rnacentral:rRNA from 2 species